AAAACAUCGUAUCCUACUCAAGAAGUGAGCAGACGAUCGACGAUGUAAGGACUAUGUAUAAAAGAAGUAAAAAAAACCAGGUGUAUUAUCAAGCUGAACUCGAGAAGGAUGUGUUCAUAAUACUUACAAGUUACGAGUGUAAGGGCUUCCAUGCAGGCCAGUGCCGAGAUGUCCAAGGACAUUCUAUACAGCGACGUGCUGAAGUCAGCGAUGGAAUUAAUCCAAUCUCCAAAGAUUUCUUCACACUGUUUUCGAUGAAGAACUGUGCCAUCUUCAAAGAUGACAUUAUAUCAGAAAAACCGGGAAUUUUGGUAGACCAAGCCUUGAUGAUGUUGACAGACGAAGUUAUGAGGUCAUAAAACAUUUGUGUCGUCUUCUCAUUGCAUCCCUCGCUUUUUGUGCAAGGCACUUCAUACUAAAACCAAUGGAAAAAAAUGUAACGUCUGCAUGUAUGAACAAGCAUUUAAUACAAAUAGCAUCAUUUAUUAUAAAGAUUAAUAGAACUAAUUUUCUUGGCAUUCUUUAAUAAAUUAUGCAAUUUGCUAAAAAGAUUUGAUACACUUUAAAGCGGAUAUUUGCUGGAAAACGCCAGGUAACUUACCUUUGAGUAACAAUGACUUGAUUUAUCAGGACUAGAAUCUAGAUGUGCUCGCACUAGCAAUGUAAUGAGACUGACUGGAGGAGAUGGAGAGGAUUCCUGGGGGCUCUUUGGUUUUGAAGGAAGUCUACCUCGACGUCCUUUAAGACUGUCCGUGCGAACAACUAUUGAUGGAAUAAAUUGCAUAAAGUUUAUAAAGAUGUACAUUAUUUCAAUUUCGAAAUAAUGAUUUUACAAGUUUU
rnacentral:sRNA from 1 species